CGCUCUUUUACUUUCAAUUUAUAACGGCCUACAAUUCUAUAAAGUGGAUUGUGAAAUAUUUUAGUGUGUUGCUGAUUUUUAUUUCACUGGACUGCAGUUUUGAUUUAUUUAUAUUAUGAAAUUAUUUGGUGCUAACGUCCGUAUACUUUGGAUCCAAAUAGUAUUAUGUACUUGGACACUAGUACAAGGAAAUCCCCAGGGUGAUACUACCGAUGCUAAUGCAACGCCUGAUGAUUCCACUAAAGACGACAACAAAGACAAAGAUGACAACAAGGACCAAUCCGGUGAUGCGG